UACAGCAGACUUGGAGCCUGGUCCACAAUUACAGUGGAAGACCUGAUAGGAAGAAACUAAGACGAUUGAGUCAUUGGCAUGUGAGAUCAAUAUACCUGCAUGGUAGUCAUAGGUUCUGACGGAAAUGACUGCAUUAUGCUGUCAUGUGUUACCGUCAGGACUCGACUGGUGUGCGGAUACU